rnacentral:rRNA from 1 species
GCGUGCGGCAGGCUACACAUGCAAGUCGAACGGUAACAGGAAGCAGCUUGCUGCUUCGCUGACGAGUGGCGGACGGGUGAGUAAUGUCUGGGAAACUGCCUGAUGGAGGGGGAUAACUACUGGAAACGGUAGCUAAUACCGCAUAACGUCGCAAGACCAAAGAGGGGGACCUUCGGGCCUCUUGCCAUCGGAUGUGCCCAGAUGGGAUUAGCUAGUAGGUGGGGUAACGGCUCACCUAGGCGACGAUCCCUAGCUGGUCUGAGAGGAUGACCAGCCACACUGGAACUGAGACACGGUCCAGACUCCUACGGGAGGCAGCAGUGGGGAAUAUUGCACAAUGGGCGCAAGCCUGAUGCAGCCAUGCCGCGUGUGUGAAGAAGGCCUUCGGGUUGUAAAGCACUUUCAGCGGGGAGGAAGGCGGUAAGGUUAAUAACCUUGCCGAUUGACGUUACCCGCAAAAGAAGCACCGGCUAACUCCGUGCCAGCAGCCGCGGUAAUACGGAGGGUGCAAGCGUUAAUCGGAAUUACUGGGCGUAAAGCGCACGCAGGCGGUCUGUCAAGUCGGAUGUGAAAUCCCCGGGCUCAACCUGGGAACUGCAUUCGAAACUGGCAGGCUAGAGUCUUGUAGAGGGGGGUAGAAUUCCAGGUGUAGCGGUGAAAUGCGUAGAGAUCUGGAGGAAUACCGGUGGCGAAGGCGGCCCCCUGGACAAAGACUGACGCUCAGGUGCGAAAGCGUGGGGAGCAAACAGGAUUAGAUACCCUGGUAGUCCACGCCGUAAACGAUGUCGACUUGGAGGUUGUGCCCUUUGAGGCGUGGCCUUCCGGGAGCUAACGCGUGAGUCGACCGACUGGGGGUAGUACGGCCGCAAGUUAAACCUCAAUGCAUGACGGGGGCCCGCACAGCGAUGUAGCAUGCUGAUUUAGUCGAUGCACCGUCGAGCAUCGUUACCUUAACU